ACAACUGUAUUGAUUUAAGGGGUACCAGGGUUUUCUUAUAAAAGCUUUUGACAACAAUUUUGUUAACAUCGCGCGCUACAAACUGAAGUCCACGCGGACGAAGUCGCGGGCAAUAGCUAGUAAUUAAUAUAAAUGUUAAAAAAGUUUACUAU